CACAGGUAGAGGGUGAGCUCUUUCUGUGUGGUAGCUAACUAUGUCCAAUGCAAGCAUUCCCUGCCAGGAGGAGGGUCUGCUGAAAAGAUGGAGAGCACUUAUGACAUCAUUUGAAUGCCAGAGUCCAGAGAGAACAAGUUUCUUCAAUCAACCCUUAUUUUUCUUUGCUGUGAGGACCAGGAAGGAACCAAUCUGUUUAAAAACUGUUGCCCGCUGGUGGCUCGUUGCCAGGUCUGAGAUAACACUGGUGGUCCCUCUGAGGGCUGAGGACGCAUUCCCCGGGUACUGCAAUCAGAGCAGACGCAUGUGCAGCUGUGGAUGGAGGGAGCUGACGUGUUCUCUCCGGGAGCAGAGGAGCAAAUGUCACGAGAAAAGCCCUUGAAAAUGGUUCUCAUCCCUUUCUCCAUCGCAGACAACCCAGAAUAAACUGUUCUGAAAUGUUGACGUUUAAUAAUAUUAAUAUUAGUAAUGGCUGGAAAGGGCUUCUGGUAAUGAGAUUCCAGGAUAAAUAGGUCACUGGGUUUUCAUUGCUUAUCAAUGAAGUUCCCAAAAAGAUCUUUUUUAAGGAAAUAGG
rnacentral:lncRNA from 1 species